GAUGAACGCUGGCGGCGUGCCUAAUACAUGCAAGUCGAGCGAACAGAUGAGGAGCUUGCUCCUCUGACGUUAGCGGCGGACGGGUGAGUAACACGUGGAUAACCUACCUAUAAGACUGGGAUAACCUCGGGAAACCGGAGCUAAUACCGGAUAAUAUAUUGAACCGCAUGGUUCAAUAGUGAAAGACGGUUUUGCUGUCACUUAUAGAUGGAUCCGCGCCGCAUUAGCUAGUUGGUAAGGUAACGGCUUACCAAGGCAACGAUGCGUAGCCGACCUGAGAGGGUGAUCGGCCACACUGGAACUGAGACACGGUCCAGACUCCUACGGGAGGCAGCAGUAGGGAAUCUUCCGCAAUGGGCGAAAGCUUGACGGAGCAACGCCGCGUGAGUGAUGAAGGUCUUCGGAUCGUAAAACUCUGUUAUUAGGGAAGAACAAAUGUGUAAGUAACUAUGCACGUCUUGACGGUACCUAAUCAGAAAGCCACGGCUAACUACGUG
rnacentral:rRNA from 1 species